UGGGGGAUCGUCUAACGGCAGGACUUCGCCCUUUGAAGGCGACUAUCUAGGUUCAAAUCCUAGUCCCCCAGCCA
rnacentral:tRNA from 1 species